GUGAAUCAUCGAAUUUUUGAACGCAAAUUGCACUCUCUGGUAUUCCGGCGAGUAUGCCUGUUCGAGGGUCAGUUCAAAUAGAAAUCGGUGUGGUUGCUGCCUUUCGUGGUGACGCCCCGGAUCUGGGAAGACUUGCCUUCGGUUCAGUGACCUAACAUUUUGCAAGAUUUUUUUCGAACGUAUUUAAAUGAUUUUACGUACGUUUGCGAAAUCGAAUACUAGGUGUGGUCAUCCUCAUGAUUCGAGCCUAUAAUUUUU
rnacentral:misc_RNA from 1 species